rnacentral:rRNA from 1 species
AUUGAACGCUGGCGGCAGGCCUAACACAUGCAAGUCGAGCGGAUGACGGGAGCUUGCUCCUUGAUUCAGCGGCGGACGGGUGAGUAAUGCCUAGGAAUCUGCCUGGUAGUGGGGGACAACGUUUCGAAAGGAACGCUAAUACCGCAUACGUCCUACGGGAGAAAGCAGGGGACCUUCGGGCCUUGCGCUAUCAGAUGAGCCUAGGUCGGAUUAGCUAGUUGGUGGGGUAAUGGCUCACCAAGGCGACGAUCCGUAACUGGUCUGAGAGGAUGAUCAGUCACUCUGGAACUGAGACACGGUCCAGACUCCUACGGGAGGCAGCAGUGGGGAAUAUUGGACAAUGGGCGAAAGCCUGAUCCAGCCAUGCGGCGUGUGUGAAGAAGGUCUUCGGAUUGUAAAGCACUUUAAGUUGGGAGGAAGGGCAGUAAGUUAAUACCUUGCUGUUUUGACGUUACCGACAGAAUAAGCUCCGGCUAACUCCGUGCCAGCCGCCGCCGUAA